rnacentral:tRNA from 1 species
AGGGACAUGGUGUUUAAUGGCAGCAUGACGGAUUCCAAACCCGUUGGUCUCAGUUCGAAUCUGAGUGUCCCUGCCA